GAUCCACUUAAGUCAUUAAUGUAUAUAAGAAACAACAAUGGUCCAAGAACUGAACCUUGUGGAACACCACAUGUGAUUGAUUGGUAAUUAGAGGUCUCAUCGCCUAUUUUAACAAAUUGCUUUCUUUUACUUAAAAAAGAACAAAACCAUUUUCCAGCAAUCCCCCUGAUUCCGUAAUAUUCAAGUUUAGCAAGGAGGAUGCCAUGAUCAACAGUAUCAAAGGCUUUUCUUAGGUCCAGAAAAAUACCACAAGCAUAACAUUUAUCCUCAAUAGCCAUUUUAAUUUUAUC